rnacentral:rRNA from 1 species
UACGUAGGUGGCAAGCGUUGUCCGGAUUUACUGGGCGUAAAGAGCGCGCAGGCGGUCGUUCAAGUCGAGUGUGAAAGCCCCCGGCUCAACUGGGGAGGGUCACGCGAUACUGAUCGACUGGAAGGCAGGAGAGGGUAGUGGAAUUCCCGGUGUAGUGGUGAAAUGCGUAGAUAUCGGGAGGAACACCAGUGGCGAAGGCGACUACCUGGCCUGUUCUUGACGCUGAGGCGCGAAAGCUAGGGGAGCAAACGGGG